rnacentral:rRNA from 1 species
AUUCCGGUUGAUCCUGCCGGAGGCCAUUGCUAUCGGGGUCCGAUUUAGCCAUGCUAGUUGUACGAGUUUACACUCGUAGCAAAUAGCUCCGUAACACGUGGCCAAACUACCCUACAGAGAACGAUAACCUCGGGAAACUGAGGCUAAUAGUUCAUAUCCGUCCCAAGCUGGAAUGCUGGGACGUGUAAACGCUCCGGCGCUGUAGGACGUGGCUGCGGCCGAUUAGGUAGACGGUGGGGUAACGGCCCACCGUGCCGAUAAUCGGUACGGGUUGUGAGAGCAAGAACCCGGAGACGGAAUCUGAGACAAGAUUCCGGGCCCUACGGGGCGCAGCAGGCGCGAAACCUUUACACUGCACGCAAGUGCGAUAAGGGGACCCCGAGUGCGAGGGCAUACAGUCCUCGCUUUUCACUACCGUAAGGUGGUAGUGGAAUAAGAGCUGGGCAAGACCGGUGCCAGCCGCCGCGGUAAUACCGGCAGCUCGAGUGAUGGCCGAUUUUAUUGGGCCUAAAGCGUCCGUAGCCGGCCACACAAGUCCAUCGGGAAAUCCGCCAGCCUAACUGGCGGGCGUCCGGUGGAAACUGUGUGGCUUGGGACCGGAAGACCCAACAGGUACGUCUUGGGUAGGAGUGAAAUCCCGUAAUCCUGGACGGACCACCGAUAGCGAAAGCAUGUUGGGAAGACGGAUCCGACGGUGAGGGACGAAAGCCAGGGUCUCGAACCGGAUUAGAUACCCGGGUAGUCCUGGCCGUAAACGAUGUCUGCUAGGUGUGACUCCCACUACGAGUGGGUGUUGUGCCGUAGGGAAGCCGCUAAGCAGACCGCCUGGGAAGUACGUCCGCAAGGAUGAAACUUAAAGGAAUUGGCGGGGGAGCACUACAACCGGAGGAGCCUGCGGUUUAAUUGGACUCAACGCCGGACAUCUCACCAGCAUCGACAACAGCAAUGACGACCAGGUUGAUGACCUUGUCAGAGCUGUUGAGAGGAGGUGCAUGGCCGCCGUCAGCUCGUACCGUGAGGCGUCCUGUUAAGUCAGGCAACGAGCGAGACCCGCACUCCUAAUUGCCAGCACCGGCUUCGGCCGGGUGGGUACAUUAGGAGGACUGCCGUGGCUAACACGGAGGAAGGAACGGGCAACGGUAGGUCAGUAUGCCCCGAAUGUGCUGGGCUACACGCGGGCUACAAUGGCCAAGACAAUGGGUUCCCACCUCGAGAGAGGGCGGUAAUCUCCUAAACUUGGUCGUAGUUCGGAUUGAGGGUUGAAACUCACCCUCAUGAAGCUGGAUUCGGUAGUAAUCGCGUGUCAGCAGCGCGCGGUGAAUACGUCCCUGCUCCUUGCACACACCGCCCGUCAAAGCACCCGAGUGGGGUCCGGAUGAGGCUUGGUCACCCAAGUCGAAUCUGGGCUCCGCAAGGGGGCUUAAGUCGUAACAAGGUAGCCGUAGGGGAAUCUGCGGCUGGAUCACCUCCUACUGACCGG